AUUGAACGCUGGCGGCAGGCCUAACACAUGCAAGUCGAACGAGUGGCGGACGGGUGAGUAAUGUCUGGGAAACUGCCUGAUGGAGGGGGAUAACUACUGGAAAAGGUAGCUAAUACCGCAUACCAUCAGAUGUGCCCAGAUGGGAUUAGCUAGUUGGUGGGGUAACCGCGCACCAAGGCGACGAUCCCUAGCUGGUCUGAAAGGAUGACCAGCCACACUGGAACUGAGACACGGUCCAGACUCAUACGUGAGGCAGCAGUGGUGAAUAUUGCACAAGGGGCGCAAGCCUGCUGCAGCCAUGCCGCGUGUAUGAAGAAGGCCUUCGGGUUGUAAAGUACUUUCAGCGGGGAGGCGUUACCCGCAGAGGAAGCACCGGCUAACUCCGUGCCAGCCGCCGCGGUAAUUC
rnacentral:rRNA from 1 species